rfam:Frankia sp. Dg2 genome assembly, contig: Dg2_contig2605
CGGACCGAAAUGCCGAAUCCUGCCCACGGUCCCGGUGUUCCCUCCGAGUCGUCACCAGGGCAGGAGCGGGGGACCCAUCCUCCACCGGACGGCACCGAGCCGCGGUGUCGUCCUCGGGGUGAAGUGUGCAGCGCGAUGGUCGCGUGACCCACCGGGCAGCCCAGCCCGAACCCGACAGCUCACCUCGCAGGCGAACGGGAAGGAUCA